AUGACUAGGGAUAGCCUUAGGAAGAGACACAUCAUCAAACCCCUUGAUUGUGUUUACUGCUUGGAACAAGAGUCUUGUUCUCACCUAUUUUUUGAAUGUAUAGUUGCUAAACAUCUCUGGGCCCACAUUGAGGAAUAUUUCUCUAGUCAGAUUGGCUCAUCCUUCGAAUCUGUCGCCAAAUUCUGGAUUCCUACCAAAAAGUGCUCAGUUUUAAACACUGUUAGCUCAGCUAUCCUUUGGUGCCUCUGGAAAUAUAGAAAUGCUAUGAUUUUCAGUAACACCUCCUGGAUUUCCAUUCCGCAGGUCUUGAGGUUGAUCAGGAACAUGGUGAGGAACUGGGCGAUUCUCUCCUCCGGAUCGGACAAGGACAAGUUGAUGAGCUUCAUGGAAACCCUAACAAGAUCCCUCCAGAAACCGUUGGCGAUCACUUGUGGCUGA
rnacentral:rRNA from 1 species